rnacentral:rRNA from 1 species
AGAGUUUGAUCAUGGCUCAGAAUCAACGCUGGCGGCGUGCCUAACACAUGCAAGUCGAACGCGAAAGUGGAGCAAUCCAUGAGUAGAGUGGCAAACGGGUGAGUAACGCGUGGGUGACCUGCCUUCGAGUGGGGGAUAACGUUCCGAAAGGGACGCUAAUACCGCAUGACAUCCUGCCUUUGAAGAGGCGGAGAUCAAAGCCGGGGAUCGCAAGACCUGGCGCUUGAUGAGGGGCCCGCGUCUGAUUAGCUAGUUGGUGGGGUAACGGCUCACCAAGGCAACGAUCAGUAUCCGGCCUGAGAGGGCGGACGGACACACUGGGACUGAGACACGGCCCAGACUCCUACGGGAGGCAGCAGUGGGGAAUUGUUCGCAAUGGGCGCAAACCUGACGACGCAGCGCCGCGUGGAGGAUGAAGACCUUCGGGUCGUAAACUCCUUUCGAUCGAGACGAACGGCUUCCGGGUGAACAAUCCGGAAGAGUGACGGUACCGAGAGAAGAAGCCCCGGCUAACUCCGUGCCAGCAGCCGCGGUAAUACGGGGGGGGGCAAGCGUUGUUCGGAAUUACUGGGCGUAAAGGGCUCGUAGGCGGCCAACUAAGUCAAACGUGAAAUCCCUCGGCUUAACCGGGGAACUGCGCUUGAUACUGGAUGGCUUGAGAUUGGGAGAGGGAUGCGGAAUUCCAGGUGUAGCGGUGAAAUGCGUAGAUAUCUGGAGGAACACCGGUGGCGAAGGCGGCAUCCUGGACCAACACUGACGCUGAGGAGCGAAAGCCAGGGGAGCAAACGGGAUUAGAUACCCCAGUAGUCC